CGGACGGCACGGGUGAGUAACGCGUAUCCAACCUGCCCUUUACUAUGGGACAGCCCGUCGAAAGGCGGAUUAAUACCGUAUGUUGUCAUGUUGAUGCAUAUUUUCAUGACCAAAGGCUUCGGCCGGUAAAGGAUGGGGAUGCGUCUGAUUAGCUUGCCGGCGGGGUAACGGCCCACCGGGGCGACGAUCAGUAGGGGUUCUGAGAGGAAGGUCCCCCACAUUGGAACUGAGACACGGUCCAAACUCCUACGGAAGGCAGCAG
rnacentral:rRNA from 1 species